CAAGUUAGAAGAGGAAAGUCACAAAAGCCUUGUUGUUUCCUGCUUGUGUAGAUGUUUCUCCUGGUCCUCUUGAUAUUUUCUCCUCUUAAGGAGAAUGCUGAUGCUGAAGUCAUAACACAAUUCCUUACAGAACAGUAUGUUUUGGCAGGAAAAGAUAUUACUCUUUCCUGCAGCUACAGUGGCUAUGUUCAAAAUUUACAGUGGUAUCGUCAGUAUCCCGGAUCCAAACCUGAGAAUAUCAUUUUUCACACCGAGGGCACUGGUCAUUCAGAGAUCAAGCUUCGUCUUUACGCUGAGGCCGAUAAAGAAACCAAACUUAUGAAUUUGAGCAUAUCUUCUACAAAGCUGGAAGACUCUGCUCUGUACUAG